rnacentral:rRNA from 1 species
AUUGAACGCUGGCGGCAUGCUUUACACAUGCAAGUCGAACGGUAACAGGUUAAGCUGACGAGUGGCGAACGGGUGAGUAAUGCAUCGGAACGUGCCCGAUCGUGGGGGAUAACGCAGCGAAAGCUGCGCUAAUACCGCAUACGAUCUGAGGAUGAAAGCGGGGGACCGUAAGGCCUCGCGCGAUCGGAGCGGCCGAUGUCAGAUUAGGUAGUUGGUGGGGUAAAGGCUCACCAAGCCAACGAUCUGUAGCUGGUCUGAGAGGACGACCAGCCACACUGGGACUGAGACACGGCCCAGACUCCUACGGGAGGCAGCAGUGGGGAAUUUUGGACAAUGGGCGCAAGCCUGAUCCAGCAAUGCCGCGUGCAGGAAGAAGGCCUUCGGGUUGUAAACUGCUUUUGUACGGAACGAAACGGCUCUGGUUAAUACCUGGGGCUAAUGACGGUACCGUAAGAAUAAGCACCGGCUAACUACGUGCCAGCCGCCGCAGUAACAC